rnacentral:lncRNA from 1 species
ACUAUAAUAGAUAUUGAUGAGGACGUUCGUAGGCUAGACAGGAUCAUUAUAGAGCUCCAGUCCUCGGUUAACUCUAUCACUAGGCAGCUCUCUAACCAGAACACCAUUAUAGUAGGUCUCGGGCAUGAUCUUGCUAGUGCCAAUAAGAAGAUUAGGGAGUUAGAGCGCUGCUAAGUUAUCUAGAUUAGAUCUUGAUGCAAUGCAUCUUAGUUAUUUAUCUUUAAAAUUUGAUUUAGAUCUAUUAUUAGCUUCAGUUCAUUACUAGUCAUUUGUAAUAAAUGCCUCAAGAUUAAUAAAGAUUAUUAUUAUUAUUAUUAUUGUUAUUAUUAUUAUUAUUAUUAUUAUGUCUUGUGUGUCUCUACUUUAUUUUUAUGCAAGAAAGUAGAAAACAAGUAUGGGGGAGAUCCCUCGACAUGCCAAACACACUUUGACUACACCACUCCACGAUUCAGGUACAUACUCUGCACACUUUACACAUAAACAUAUCUUGGAUUAUGCAGAAUAUUGUCUCCAACAUAAUAAACAAAAAAGGAUUAAAAUGCCUCUAAUCAUGAUUAAUCUAACUCUGUGAUAUUUCCUGAAAACCUGCAAUUAUUGAAAAAUCAUUUUUCAAACCCUGUGUUAGUGAAAGUCAUUGUGGAAUGUGAGAUGGUAGAGUAUGAGUAUCUUGUUCUUGAUAUCAUUGUUGCUUGGAGAAUUUAUUUAAAAAAAUUACCUACCAUCCUCAGUGUUUUAUAUGCCUGGUAAACCUGAAAAUAUUACUUAAAUAGUUAUAAAAGCUAUCUGCUCUGUUUUGAGUUUGUUCAAAAUGAGUUAGACCCUUGUUGAGAGAUUUAUCAUACUCCUAAGAUCAAGACAUUUAUUCAGAAACAUUCACUCUUCCGAAGUAUUAUUGCGUUAGAGGCAUGGGCUAUGCAAAAAUAAGGAUAUUUCGAGGAAAUAAAAAGGAGCAAGUGCUCGACAACCUCGCAGAAAAAAAAUAGACAAGUGUCCGGCAGUAGAAUUAGGGGUACCUCGGUAUCCACCUAAAAAAAAGAGAAAAGAAAGAAAAUGAUAGCCCAUGGUCCCUCUAAUAAACAAUAUGCCAGCAAGAGUUCACAAGUUUUUAAUUUCCAAAGUCUUUGAUCUAAGAGUAUGACAUUCCUCUCCUCGGAUCCCGUUUUGAUCAGGCAAUAAAUACAAGGUAAGUAUGCUUGAGAAUUUUUGCAAAUUAAAACAGCCUCAGUGAGAUAUACAAAAGAUAAUGAGUGACCUGAGAAAACCUAUGAGGAUAAAGGUAUGCUAAAUUUCUUUUCAUAGUGAAUUUUUACACCCUGCAGGUAUGAAGAAAAUGCUUUACAAUGUUUUAACCACAGAUAUUUUUCUUAACCAUCCUUUUCUCGAGGACGAGUAAAAGCCUAAGUAUGGGGGUGUUUGUUGACGGUUCUUAAGUAUCAAUUUUAAUUAUCAAAUAAACAUGGAAAAGGACCAAUAUACAAACAACACCUAGAAGUAGAGUUUGAUCUGACAGAAUUCCAUGAGUUUUGUUGUUUAUCUGUUUCUGCAGGGGGUUAUUGUAACAGAACCGACCAAAUUAUAAGAGAUUAAGCCUAACAGUGACCAUUUGCAUAGUCAAACCAUCGAGCUUAAGCCCAUAUAAUCCCGGUAGUCCGUGAAAUCUCGAAGGAUUUUAAACCACAUAUCGUACAGACAACCAAGAUCGUAAUAAGUUUAGCGGUCGCCAUCCACAAAUACAUCCAGAUUACAACAUUCAUAAAAUACAUCGGAGUUCUUAAAAUUAUUAUAAACCAAGUUCUUCAAGUAGCGGAAGCUUCAUAGUUCGAAUAUACAACACACACUUAGUCUGAUACAGUGCCAUAGUUCGGUCAUUCCCACAAAAGCAGA